AUUGUUAACAAUUUUUUUAUUAAAAAGUUUGUAAAUUAUCAUAUUGACAAUUUUCAUAAGUUGAUUAGAAAUAUUAUAUCAAAAAAUUAAAAAUAAAUGAAAUUAAAAGUCAAAAGUAAGAAACAAUUGUUUCUAUAAAUUUCUUUUAUAAGAAAAAUAAAAUAUGGAUGGCUGAGGAAUGGAAUUGCGCUAAACUACGAGAUUGUGAAACUUCCUGGUUAAGUUGGUGGUAUCCAUUGGACACAUUUUGAAACACCCACUAAAUUUAAUUUCAGAACACUGCAUUUGCGAUAUAUUCGUUACCAUCAUAAGCCUUCCCAACCGGGACACUGGUUUUAAAUUUGUAUAUCUUAAGAUAACAAUUUGAUAAUGUAAAACUCCUAGCCAAAUACGUUACAAAUCUGGAAGCAGGAAGAAUAGACUACAAAAAUGGUUGUAAAUGCAGUAACGAAUUCUUUAACUGGGUACGAUGUUUGUUCAAGAUUCAUAGCUUAGUGCAGAGUUAUUAUAAAUUACAGUGGCCAACAAAAUUUAUAAAAAGUCGAACCCCAGAGACCAAAGUACACUUUUCUAAACUCAAAUUUCUCUAUCACAUUAGGAUUGGAGACGCUAUAACAUGGCAAUCACAUCUUUAUUUAUAUUCUUGUGUCGUCUGAAAGUCCAAUCUUUCGUCUUUUAAAUAAAGGUUUAACUUCGUAAUAUUUUCUUCCUACUUUGAGAUAUCAUAAUCCAAAGUAAAAAACAGCUAUAAAUUCAAAAAAUAAAUUGUCUUUAUUUUACAGCAAACAUUUCAGCGGAAAAUUCAAAAAGUAUUAUAUAUAUUUCGAUGAAAAAAAGAUAUAUCUGAGGUUAAACCUUUAUUUUAAAGUCGACAGAUCGAACACUAAGACAACAUAACAAAUUUUAUAAAUAAAGAUGUCUUCGCGCUGUUAUAACGGCUCAAAUAUGGCCACAACGGGAACUUUUGAUCUUAAAAACACGAUAUCUCGAAGUCAGCUUUGGAUUCAGCGCAGCUCAAUCCUUUAGAAAAAAAUAUUUUGGCAUUUGGGUUAAAAUUUGUUAGCCUGUGUUAUCUAAAACAAAGUAAUU